UUUGGAAACAAGUGCUAAUACCGUAUAAUACCAACAACCGCAUGGUUGUUGGUUGAAAGAUGGUUCUGCUAUCACUAAGAGAUGGACCCGCGGUGCAUUAGCUAGUUGGUAAGGUAAUGGCUUACCAAGGCAAUGAUGCAUAGCCGAGUUGAGAGACUGAUCGGCCACAAUGGGACUGAGACACGGCCCAUACUCCUACGGGAGGCAGCAGUAGGGAAUCUUCCACAAUGGGCGCAAGCCUGAUGGAGCAACGCCGCGUGUGUGAUGAAGGGUUUCGGCUCGUAAAACACUGUUAUAAGAGAAGAACGGCACUGAGAGUAACUGUUCAGUGUGUGACGGUAUCUUACCAGAAAGGAACGGCUAAAUACGUGCCAGCAGCCGCGGUAAUACGUAUGUUCCAAGCGUUAUCCGGAUUUAUUGGGCGUAAAGCGAGCGCAGACGGUUAUUUAAGUCUGAAGUGAAAGCCCUCAGCUCAACUGAGGAAUUGCUUUGGAAACUGGAUGACUUGAGUGCAGUAGAGGAAAGUGGAACUCCAUGUGUAGCGGUGAAAUGCGUAGAUAUAUGGAAGAACACCAGUGGCGAAGGCGGCUUUCUGGACUG
rnacentral:rRNA from 1 species